CUAGAACUCGAUUGAAUUUUAAAUAUUUUAAAUGUCCGUCAAUAGAACUCCAACGAUUUUAAAAUAUGCACUAGAGUUCUAUUGUCGGGUAUUUUUAAUAAUAUUUAAAAAAGGAGUUCUUAUGUCUUUGGAGUUCUACUGUCGUUGGAGUUCUACGGUAGCCAUACCUUUGCCUGAUGGCUAUGGCUGUCACUAGGUGGAUAAAACUAUGUCCGCUAGAUGGCGCGAAUGGGUCGGUUAGUGACGAAAAUUUUGCCAUUUCUUCUAAAGACACUGAGCGGAAAGCCAGAUGAAGUCUGCGCUUCUUUGUUGCAGUCUAAUGUGCACAUGGAUUGGUUGCAGUAUUCAGUGAAAGGUGUGAUUAAACUGAGCUGUUUGCAUGCAGUCUGUGGUGCCGAUGUUGUCCUGGAGUGUGGGAGAGUUCCAUGCUUCAAGUCUUAUGGGAUCAGCCAUAUAUCUGAGUUGAUGCUGGACCAUGCUGCAUUGUGGUUGCCGAAAUGUUGAACAUCUAGUAGAACUGCAAGAAGCCUUCUUGAAACGCCAUCCAGUGAAAGGUGUGAUUAAAUUGAGCUGUUAAAUGCAGUCUUUGGUGCCAAUGUUGUCCUGGAGUGUGGGAGAGUUCCAUGCUUCAAGUCUUCUGGGAUCAGCCAUAUCUAAGUUGACGCUGGAUCAUUGUGCAUUGUGGUUGCCGAAAUGUUGGACAUCUAGUAGAACUGCAAGAAGCCUUCUUGAAAUGGUUUAUGUUUAUGUAGCAGUGAUGUUCCUGUCAAAUGUGGCAUGUUGUUGCAGCCUGCUGGUGACGGAUUUUUUGCAUCGAGUUAAACUGUUGCUGUUCCUUGGUGCCGGACUGCUGGUGUUGUGCACAAAAGUUACAUCCAGUUUUAAUUGUUAUUUGUGUCUAUUCAAGUAUUCAGUUAACCGUUUAUAUGUUGAGAAUGAAAAAAAAAAUAGUAAUACGGGGAAUUUUUACGUUGAACAAAUAAUAAACAUACCUUCGCGAUUGGGAAAUCAACGAGGAGGAAAAUGUUGGGGGGGGGGACAUUUGAUUUUCAUUAACUAAAAGAAAUGAUAUUUUGUAAGGUAGAAAUGAAA